rnacentral:piRNA from 2 species
UGUUAGAAGGAAUGAAAUUGGAAAGA